GAUGUUGAAAGACAAGCCAAUUGUUUCCUGAUUUUCUUUUCUUGCUUUGUUCCUUUUGAAUUCUUAAUGUAUGGGAAAUUUGAUUGUGUUUUUCAAUACAGGCUGAGAAUGGCUAACAGAAUGCAAUAAACAGUAAAUUGGCUUCAGAUCAGACCUGCUUCCCUUUAUUUAUUAACAACAGAUUCAAGUGAAAAUUGUUUGAAGGUAAGUGAACACUGAAAUUUAAUGAAAGGUAUCAUUCCAGCUAGACUCACAAAGGAGGGAAAGUCCUGUUCCAACCGAUGCAGGUAUACACAGAAGAAAAUUUUGGGAUUUCAUAGUUUAGAGUAGAAACCAAUAUAUACAUACAGUAGUAUAGAAUAAAUAUAUGCAAUAAAUGCUAGAUAUGUGGAAUAACAUAAAAUAUUGAAUUAGGGUGCUGUCCUAACUCUAGAUCUGCUGAGAAUGAGCAAUUUAUGAUUGGGCAAAUCUCUGGCUCAGGCAGCAGGUUCUCAGCUCAACCAGGCUAGGCCUGUGUGCGUCCCCAACCAUGACUCAGCUGGAGAUACACUGGUGUAACUCCUUCAUCCUGGCUAAGUUAGGGCUAAGCCAGCUGAGUUGAGGGGGGGAAAAAAAGGCAUUCUACAGGAAUAGCAGGAACAGGAUCGGAGGAUGAAGGACUUAUGCUGGAUUCAUACUCCAUUGAGCUCUAUUAAUGUGACCUGGCAAGCUGGUGGAAUUUACAAUGACAACAAGGGUGAUGAAAGUCACACUCUAUUUUAAAAUUUUGCUUUCCAUUUGCCAGGCUUAGGCUGGCUCAACCAGCAACAGCCCCACUCCACAUGGAGUUUGGAUCUGGAGUAUUUUAAUACUGGUUAAAUUUGAGGUGACAUAAAUUAAGCUGACUCGUCAUAUUUAGGAUUGAUCCCAAUGUUAUAUAACAGCAGACUAGCCUAUAAGUAAUAUUGUGGUCCCCCACCAUGUAUGUGAGCAGAGGUCCUUUAGGGAUGUUGUUAAAUGUUGUUCCUACAUUCUGGACUGAGCUGAACACAGACAUCAGUCAGCAUCCGGUCCUCCCCACUCUCUUUUGUGGUCCUUGUGUGCAAAACCCGAAGCUUGGAAGACAUAAUAGUUUCCACUGCUAACUAAUCUUCAUCUGAUAUAUUCAUUUUAUGUUGAAAACAUGGGAGGGAGACAACGUGAGAAAAUCUACAAGGUUUACAUCCAUUAUUAACUGGGGGGAGGGGAUAGAAUUUUAGGAAGCAGUGGAUUGUUAUCCAUUACAUGCCAAUACAUCCCUUCACCCCUGUGUUAUGAAACACAGCACAAACCAAAGCCAUGGAACAAGAAAGGAAAGCCACUUAGCCCUGUUCCAAUAAAGACCAGGCCAAAGACCCAAAUCAUUGUAUGCUAUUACAACGGUUUUGUUCAAGCAAGUUAUAAGCAAGAGAUAUACUUUUUGGGGUGUGUGCUUUCUUAUAGAAAUGUCAUUUCUCAAGAAGGGGGGAAGAUAAGGAAAUGAUGUAAUUAUUGAUCAUUGAUAAUCCUCAAAUAUGUUCUUAGUACUGAUACCUAGCCUUGCUGCCCAGAAUACAAUUUUACAAUAAUUAAUGUUGCAUUAUAAAGAGAAAAAUGCUGUAAAUGCAGUUAGGAAAGCUGUCCAUAUUGCCAGGUGAAAUCUAUCAUAGUUAUUGCAGUAAAAAUAUGACGUAUUGAAUCAAUCAUGUUUCAAAAAUUAUGCUAUGGUGUUAAGGAACACAGUUUAAAUGCACUGGGAAACAUUACUGCUAGCUAUCAUUUUGGAGAAAAACAAAAUUAGGAACAUGGUAGUUGAUGAUUAUGAUGCUGAUUUAUUAAUUUUUUUAGUCACUUUAUCUUGCCCAAGGCAACCAAUAGCGACUUACAACCAAACAGCCAAACAAGAUGAUAGAUCUGAAAACUAUGCCUGUUUAACCUAUCCAGCCUGUGUCUUUGCAUUUAGAUAAAUGAUCAAAUUGAAGGAAUAGGUGGAUAAAGAAGAGCAACCAGGAAAAGGGAACUUUAUGUCUUCCAUAUUUCCGAUCCACAGUCCACAUGCUAUUUGCAUUUAAAAUGCACCACACAAAUGUGUGUAGAUAUUUUAUCACAGAAUCAUAGAAAGAGCAUGUAACAGUAUUAAUUCCCAAUGGAGAUGGCAUGGGACUGGAAGAAAAUGGGCUGUGUAUCUGGGGCAUGCAGUACACGUGUAUGCAUUAUUACUCAGAAGAAAGUCCCAAUGUGUCCUAGGGGGCUUAUCUGGCAACCAAAGAAACUUAUGAUGAUGGAAUGAUUGUAGUAGCAUGCCACUGAAUUUUACGUUCAGUGUUACGCAGCGUCUGAAAAUGUGUUGCUUCAGUGGUAGCAGUUCACGUGAACAUUGCCCCUUCUCUCCAUAAAAUUCUUCCUUGUCUAUUGAGUCUGGUACUAGGCAAUGAUUCUUCAUCCAUGUAACUUAAUUUAGGAUUUGGAAUAUUUUUCCCUUCCCAAAUGGGGAAUUUGGCCUCUGUGUCUUUCUACAUAUUAAAACUGAAACUGAGUUAUGUUGCUUUCUCAUGGCUGAGUUUCUCAGAAUUAUCAUUUGCAUAUACCUCAGAAGGCUGAAAAACCUUGUGGGGGGGAAUAUAAUCUUUGUGGGCUGAAUUUGGUAAUAAAUUGUAGGCAAGUCUUUUUUGGAAGACUUGAAUCCAGCCCGGUUUCAGACAGAUGUCUGCACUGGUUCUCUUGCAAGGAUUACCAUUACAGUCUUUAAAAAGGUAAAGGUAAAGGACCACUGACAGUUAAGUCCAGUUGCAGACGACUCUGGGGUUGCGGCCACUCAUCACACUUUACAGGCUGAGGGAGCUGGCGUUUGUCCGCAGACAGUUUUUCCAGGUCAUGUGGCCAGCAAAACUAAGCCGCUUCUGGUGAAACCAGAGCAGCACACGGAAACGCCGUUUACCUUCCCACCAGAGUGGUACCUACAGGUGUGCUUUUGAACUGCUAGGUUGGCAGGAGCUGAGACCGAGCAACAUGCGCUCACCCCAUCGCAGGGAUUCAAACCACCGACCUUCUGAUCGGCAAGCCCAAGAGGCUCAUUGGUUUAGACCACAGCACCACCCGCGUCCAUUACAGUCUUAGGGUGAGCUUAAAAAGUAAUCCUAAAUAAAGGAAGUGGUGAAAUUCAUACUGGCUUAAUUUAAAUCAGUGUAAAUUACGCCUUUUCCAAAUUCCAUUCAGGAGCUAUCACUAGCUGAGCUGGCCUAAGUCCGACGGAGGGGGAAAAUGUUGAACUAAAUUAGGGACCAGCAUAAGUACCCCUUGCUUGGUCAUGCCCCCACCCCAGUACCCCAUUUUUCAUGGCCUACAGCAACAUCAAAUCCACCAGUCUCAGUCUAGCCAUCUAAGCCCCAGUUAAUGCUGGAUGAGGUACUUGUGCCAGCAUAUCUCUGGCUGAGCCAGGAUAUGGGGCUUGUUUGGGCAUAGUUCAGUUGCGCUGAGAAUCAGCCAGCUGAGUCAGAGAUCUGCUGGCUCCUCACAUGUGCAUCCUGGUGAAUACUGGGUUUGGUUUAAUCUUUGCUAGCAUUUGUGUGUAAUGUGUCUGAAAAUGGCAGACACUUUCAAAUCACCCAGAGAUCUACCAGAAGAUCCAGAAUGACCUUUUACCCAUCAGUGCUCUGAGGUUAUGAUAACUGCAGGAGCUUCUGUUCUUCUGCAUAACCCUAACAUUUUUGAUAUGACUGGCUCCUCCCACACCUCUUCCUUCCUUCAUGUCAGUUCAGUUUCAUCUCUUCACUGAGAGCCAGUGUGGUGUAGUGGUUAAGAGCGGUAGUCUCGUAAUCUGGGGAACCGGGUUCGCGUCUCCGCUCCUCCACACGCAGCUGCUGGGUGACCUUGGGCCAGUCACACUUCUUUGAAGUCUCUCAGCCCCACUCACCUCACAGAGUGUUUGUUGUGGGGGAGGAAGGGAAAGGAGAAUGUUAGCCGCUUUGAGACUCCUUAAAGGGAGUGAAGGCGGGAUAUCAAAUCCAAACUCUUCUUCUUCUUCAUUUUCUGCAUUUCAGAAUCAUCCUAUUUCCCCCAUCCAGUCAUUUUGCCUCUUCAGUCCAUUGAUUUAUAAAACUAAGUAGGUGUCAAAUACUGUGGUAUUAGGGGAGAACUGGACGAAAGAGAAUAUUUUCCCCCUAUGCAAUGUAGAAAGUAAGCAACACGUUAGGUCAGCUCUGCAGUAGAAAUGUCAGUAUUGCCAGGAGGAAAGCCAUGAUCCGUGUUUGUGCUCUCAAGGAUUUCAAAAUGAAAAGAAGUCACUGUAUACAUGAUAUAAGAUCACAUGUGCCUUUAUGAAUAAAGUUAACAAUCCUCAUCCCCUGAAAGUUUAAAAAAAUAUAUUAAUUAAAUCAUCCAUACAGACUGUUCACUAUGGCUGAGCAGAUAUAUGUACUGUUUUGUUAAUGAACCUAACAAUGUUAUUUUAGAGCCUGGUUCAAAUAUUGACAAUUGUGUGGGUAUUUAUAGGUCUCUUGUUAAAAAGUAAACAUUUUUUCCCCCUCAUUUUUUUUUUUUUUGGCACAUAAAAAGAUGCCCAUUCCAGAUGAUUUUAUUAUUUUUACCCUCAAUUCAAUAUAUGUCCAAUUUUUCUCGUUUGAAUGGCUUCCUGUGGUUUCUGUAUAUUUUGCUGCUUUGGGAGCUAAAAAUAGAAGAUGAAAGUGCCACUGUGCCUAUUGGUGUACAAAUAAAACCCAUCAAUGGAAAUUUGGCCUUCUGAAGAAAUGUCAUGUUUUCACACAAAGCCUCAUGUUCUACUCAAGUUUCUGAAGCUUCAGAUAAGAGCAUAAUUCUUUAGCGCUACUUCAUGGAAUUAUACAGAGAACGAUGAGACAUUUCUAAUGUAAAAUAUGCAUUUAUAUAUUUUCUCUUACUAUGACAUCAUCACAUUUUGAAACGGAGCAAAAGUUGCACUUUGACAUCACAUUUUGCCAAUUCAGCUGUGAAAUGUGAGGGCACAACUCCCAACAGGAAUCCGUCGGGCAAAUCAAUUUAUUUCUGCAGCAUGUCAAUUUCAUAUCUGUUCAUCAUGUGCUGCUGCUGCAUUCAUUAGUGGUUCUGCCACCAAAAAUAAAAUAAUAAUCUGUACCAACCCCCCCCCAUUAAAAUACAUAUCACUUUCAAAAUACACAGUUCUAAACAUAUUUUUUCCUCAUAAUGCACAAUGCGCUCUUAUUUUAUUUCAAAAUACUUAUUGCAAGAUGCAUUUUGAUCGGUGUGAACUGCUAAGAACAGUGUUGUGGCAUUUAGUAAGUGCAGAGUUAAGUUUUGAUCUGCAGUGAAUAUUAGGGAGCAAUCCUAUGCAUAAGAAGCUGGCAUAAACUGAGGUGCUAUAAGAUAGCCUGGGGUAAAGCUAUACCAGAUCCAGGCCCUGUUCAGCAGAGGGACUGCUGUUAGCUGCUGAGCCAAAGGCUGGCAGAGGGAAAACAAGCCUUUGAAAUAGUGUUCUAAAACAGGUUGCCAGGUCAUGUGUCUAAGCUGAACAGGCUUAGGUUCCAGUCUCUCCCCUCUGGCCCUGGCCCUAGCACCCCCUUGGGAAAUGGGGGUUACAUUGCCUUUGACUAAGCCAGCUUUUCUGAAGGAAAUCAGCCCUGAGUGCUCACUGGAAGGACAGAUCGUGAAGCUGAGGCUCCAAUACUUUGGCCACCUCAUGAGAAGAGAAGACUCCCUGGAAAAGACCCUGGUGUUGGGAAAGAUGGAGGGCACAAGGAGAAGGGGACGACAGAGGACGAGAUGGUUGGACAGUGUUUUCAAAGCUACUAAUAUGAGUUUGACCAAACUGCGGGAGGCAGUGGAUGACAGGAGUACCUGGUGUGCUGUGGUCCAUGGGGUCACGAAGAGUCGGACACGAUUAAAUGACUAAACAACAACAAAGCCAGCUUUGGUUGAGAUGGCUGAGCCCUGGCUGUGCUGAGAUGAGCAUGUUGCAUUGGCAUAUCUUCAGGUAAGCCAGGGUUGGGGACUUGACACCUGCUGAGCCAGUGAUCAGCUGUAGUCUCAGCUGCUCAACCUGGUAGAUCCUGCUUCCUUUACAUUGCAGUCCAACUGAGGCAUGUGAAAACCUGGCUGUCAGCCCUGUUUGCCUCAGGCUCCACACCUCAAAUAUUUAUUAGUGUAUAUUUAAUUUUACAUACUGCUUUUCCACCUUUGGUGUGGUUUACAACUGAGCAAAUCAUAGAUGGUUGAACAUCACUGAUAGACAUUUUAAGAAUCCGCUAAUUAUGUUACAGUAGAUUCAUUAACAUUAUCAGAAGAAAGUAGGGCAAAUAUUCCCAGUAUAGGAUAACCUCAUAAGUGACAGAAGUGGUGCCCGUAAAAAUGUUUCUUUGAAUUCACUGGGAAGUGGAGGGAUUAUGAGAAAGAAUUCUCCAGGUUAUUCUGGACAAAGGUAUUUAAAAGCUUUGAAGGUCAAAAACAGAUAUAAAUUGCUAUGUAUUACCUGUCAUGGUUGCCAUUUCAUUGUAGGGAUGGAGGAAUCAUUUCAUUACUAGCCCAUGUCUCUCAUCUGCUGGUUUAUAAAUCCAGUUAUAAAUUCAUAUUUUAUUGCUGUUUUAUUGUUGUUGUUGGUAUUCUGUUGGGAGCCGCCCAGGGUGGCUGGGGGAACCCAGCCAGAUGGGUGGGGUAUAAAUAAAUUAUUAUUAUUAUUAUUAUUAUUAUUAUUCCACCCUGCUUCAGUCAUUUUUAAAAAAGUGUUUUGUUAUGCUUCUUGAGCCAAGAACUGUGCCAGAACAUUCAAGACAUGUGAAAGCUAGUGGAUAAUUAAGUUCCAAUCCGCCUAUUCGUCCAGGGGGUGCAGAUCAGAUCAGCUCAUAUCAGAAUUUACAAUGAUCAAAUUCCUCAAGCAUCUCUGUUUCUUGAUAUACAGAAGCAAGCCUACAGGGCCUGCUAGCUUGUUAUUUUAUAAAAAAUCCUGUUAUUUUAGGAAUGCUAGACAUUACAGUGCAGUAAGUGUGCUUAGAAUGAAGCUACAGAAAAAGUAACCUUUUCAAUUUUGAAAGUAUUUUUUAAGUUGUGUGUGUGUGUGUGUGUUUGCAAAUACAUAAUCUGGUGUGAUAGCCUUAUAGAAAUUCUAAAUUUUUAUAAAAAUCCAGCAAACCUAUAGCUGGCGCCCUUACUCCAAGAGUUUUUCACAGGUGCUUUGAUUUGCUAAAUGUCUUAAGACAUAAUUCAUUCUCCUCUCCUCUUUAAAAGGAAAUUAAUGAAGUAGUAACAGUGAUACAGUAUCAGAACUGGCACUGACCUGCUUCGCAGAAAGGUUUUAGAACCAGUGUGCAGCCUUAGGAAAUUCUUUCCCGCCCAGCUGAAAUCACAUACAGAAUGUUUAAUGUCAGGACAACCAUUCAUUGCUUAUGAAAACUGGUCAGCUUUAGUUUAAAAUUGUUUAAAAGAUCCAUGGCCUUUGAAUUAAGGAGGAAUACCUGCUUGCGCACUCUCCAUUACAGCUCAAAAGCUCCUGCUCACAGCGGAGCUUAGAGAGCAAACUCUGUGUCAUGAGUUCAGCUCAAUUACGCCAAUGCCCAGGCAAGUCUGCAUUGCAGGCAAGAUCUGUGCAGGGUACUAUUCAACGGUUCAAAGACUGAACCGUCCAAUUUGCAGAAGAUAAUCAGAUGUGUCAUAAUCAUUCUCACUGAAAAGGCACUUCUGGAGAGGAUUUUUCAUUGAUGACAAACAUAUGGAGUGACAAAAGGGAGCAGGUGUGAAAUUGUCUUAUAUAAUAUAGAGAGAUUUAGCAUCUAGCUGAGCUUUCCUAGGGUAUAUCAGCAAAUUUAUAAUCUUGCCUUUAAACCCCCUCCCUCUAAAAGAACCUGUUCUUAGAGAUGCCAGUCAUCUUCAUCUUAAUUUUAAUGCAAUUCAGCAAUUGCAUAAUUUGUUAUCUUAGCAAUGGGUGUGUUUAUUGAAGCUUGAAUCCUGGCAAGAUGGAGUUACUUUAGGUGAGUGGGUCCCAUGUUUGAGAAAUUGACCCACUGCCUAUAAUGGAUAGGGUUCUUCUUCCCCUGAAAGAGCAACCAUGCAGUAAGGUUCUGCUUUUGGAUCUAGCAUUGUCACUGGAAGUGCAUAAUAUCUGACCAUUGGCCAUGCUGGCAAUGACUUGAUGGGAGUUGGACUGUAAAAACAUAUGGAGGGCUGCUAUUUUCCCAUCCUUGCUUCAAAACUGUAAAGAGAAUGGUUGCUUACCAGUCCCGGAGUGGGCGACUGUUGCGGCCAAUCACGACUGGCUCCCACCCUCAGGGAUCAGUGCUGGGGCUAAGCAGCUGGCAGUUGAAGAAUUCCCAAUUUGCACCCAGUGAAUUGUAGUUGGAGAAGUUUAACCACUGAGCCUAGGGCUUGCCGAUCAAAAGGUCGGCGGUUCGAAUCCCCGCGAUGGGGUGAGCUCCUGUUGUUCGGUCCCAGCUCCUGCCAACCUAGCAGUUCAAAAGCACAUCAAAGUGAAAGUAGAUAAAUAGGUACCACUCUGGCGGGAAGGUAAACGGCAUUUCUGUGCACUACUAUGGUUCGCCAGAAGCGCCUUUGUCAUGCUGGCCACAUGACCUGGAAGCUGUAUACCGGCUCCCUCGGACAGUAAAGAAAGAGGAGCGCCGCAACCCCAGAGUCGUCUGUGACUGGACCUAAUGGUCAGGGGUCCCUUUACCUUUAUAUGGGGAGCGAAUGAGGCUUCUUUAACUCCUCAAACAUCCAUUGUCAAGCAUAGAUUUUUAAAAUGAACUGUCAGUGAAUAAGUGGGGAUAAACAAAUCAUGGUAAAUUGCUAUAUGCCUCCUUUUUUACCUAUUCCACUCCCUUCACAAUUCAGAGAAUCAUAGAAUUUUGGGUUAGAGUGGACUCUGAGGGUCAUCUAGUUCAACUCCCUGCAAUGCAGGAAUCUCAGCUAAAGCAUCCUUGACAGAUGACCACAUAACCUCUGUUCAAAUACCUCCAAUGAAGGAGAGUCCACCACUUUCCAAGGGAGUCCAUUCCACUCUCAAACAGCUCUUAUUUCAGAAAGCUUUUUCCAGAUGUUUAGUCACAGGUCACAGGUCUUACCCUCCAGAACAGGAUAAAACAAGCUUGCUCCAUUUUCCAUGUGACAGCCCUUUAGAUAUUUGAAGAUGGCUAUCAUAUAUCCUCUCAGUCUCCUCUUAGGCAGGCUAAACAUACCCAACUCCCACAACCAUUCCUCAUAAGGCUAUAGGGAAGUUUUUAAUGUUUGAUGUUUUAUUGUGUUCAUAAUAUUUUGUUAGGAGCUGCCCAGAGUGGCUUGAGCAACUCAGUCGGGUGCCAUAUUAAUAAUAAAAUUAUUAUUAUUAAAGUAUUGGUUUCCAUAUUCUUGCUCAUCUUUUAAAUUAAGCUAAAACACUCAUUUACCAGCUUCCUUGUCUUGACUAAUGACUCAGCUACACAGGGCAAUUUAUAACAUUAUAAAUGCAUUCUAAUAAUGUGACACCAGAUGGUGCUGUAGAGCAGCAAUCUUAAGUGGUUGAAAAUUUCCAUUGGGAGCUGUAUUCUUAUAGCAUUUUUAAUAGUUUUUUUUAAAAAAUAUUUGUGUAGAUCCAGCCUAAGCCCACAAAGGAAUGGUUGAGGACACAUGAAAAUGCAGCACUCCUCUCUGCCUAGUGUAGUUUUCGCUGACUCUCAAAGCAAGGUAUCUCAACAUAAUGCUUGGCAUUGCCAGCAUCAGUAAGAAAAGGACCAUGCAAUAAAUAAGCAGAAAACCUUGAAAUGCAAGUUAAAUGAACCACAGAAAUAUCAAAUCAAUUGAAAGCCUCAAGGAAACUUGCAUACUGUAUAUGUAAAGAAAUUCCAGGCUAGUAGAUGGUUGAGGUUUUUUCCCCCUUAGAAAUGAUUCAGCUAUGGAGAUUGAUUUGUUUUCUAGAACAUUCAUAUGAAGUCCCAGAUUGUUGUGUAUACUCCUCUGCAAAUAGCUAUGUUCAGGUUUGACAUAUUUAAAUAAUGUUAUGAAAAGGGGGAUCUUCUGAGAACAUGCUGCUCAAUUAAUUCUCCAGUGAUGCCACUUCUGCAUACUGAAAUUAUUCACAAAUUGUGUUAUAUUUCAGCUUGCUUAUGAGCUGCCAUUUGGCCAAAAAGUUCCCUCAGGGCAACGUAGGGCUACUCAGUACCAAAUGAAGUCAUUGGAGCAGUCAUCCGGCAUUUUGGAGUAAGGCAUCAGUUCUACUUCUUCGUUAACUUUUGAAUUAUGAGAGACUGUAAAUGUUCUGGAUCAGUGCAUAGAUGGACUGGUGGACUGGAUGAGGGUCCAUAACUGUGCUUGAACCCCCCUGUGGGGGUUGGGGAGAUAGGUAAGUCAGCUAUCCUUGAUGAGGUUUCACUUCCUCUGAAGGAGCAAGUACAUAGACUGGGGCUACUUCUGGACACAUGUUUGUCAUUAGAGGCCUAAGUGAGGUAUGCCUUUUACCAGCUUUGUCUGUUUCACCCACUAUGGCUGUUUCUAAAUAGGUAUAGCCUGCUGUAGCCCAUGUGUUGAUAACCUUGAUGCUAGAUUACUGCAAUGAUCUCUAUGUGGGCCUGUCCUUGGCUUAGUUUAGAAGCUCCAGCUAGUGCAGAAUGCAGCAGCCAGACAGCUGGUGUGGGCACCUGGCUGGCAACAUCUGACACCAGUGAUAAAGCAUAUAUACUGCUUCCCCAUCCGUUGCUGAGCCAGGUUCAAAGCCCUUCAUAUUAAUAUGCAAAGCCCUGGGCAUUGACCCCAAAUGCAGCCUUUAGUGUUAUUGCUCCAGUCCUGUGGAAUGCUCUGCCAAUAGAGAUUCAGCCGGCACCUCCUCCUCCUUCAACCUUCAAACCCCUCCUGAAAUCUCUUGCACUCUGCCAGGCUUAUGCAGGCAAUCAUGAAUAUAUCUUUCCAUAAUAGUUAGUUGAUAGUCUCAGAUUUUAAUUUUUAUGUGUUUUUGUUAUAUAGAGAUAUUAUUGCAAACUACUUCAAUAUCUUUUAUGAUAUAGUGGUAUAUAAAUAUUUUGCAUAAUUGCUCUGUUAAGCCAGGGCAAGGAACAAAAGGCUGACACGAAAAACAGUAAAAUGCUUCUGAGAUAUGGGCCCACAGACAUCAUCAAGCUGGUCCUCUUCAUCAUGAGGGCUAGAAACUUGUUUUUUUUUUUAAGUACAAAGAAGGGGGGGAAAGAACUAGAAAUUAUCCAGAUGCUGAAUUCUGCAGUCAUUACUAAAAGUUAUUGUUGCUUUUAAAUCUCAAAGUGGUUGGUGCCAUAUUUUUGGGACGCCAGGAAAUCAAUCCUUGCGCUUUGGCAAACAAUGGCUGAGUUUUGCAAGACAGAAAUGAGAAUCGCCAUGGGUUUUGAAAAGAAUUUAUCCUGAUCUUUCAUUUUUCCUUCUCAGAAAAGACAGCACUGCAUUGUUACACUAUUCGAUAUCGUAUGCAUAACAAAUGGAACAUGAGAGGAACAGUCUUCCGCUCUAUCCAAAGCCUGGGGUGCACCCCACUUUCAGCUGCGAUUCCUGAAAGAAGACAGUGGUAGAUUCCAAGAAUCCAGGCUUCAUGACAAAUGUAAGCACAUUUCGAUGACGAUCACACAUCUCCAGAACAAGGUUCCCAUCGUCUCAUCUCAAUUCUUACUCCCCACCCCCUAGAACAGGUGAGCAGGAUGAUGCCUGGAUUGGGGUAGAGAGA
rnacentral:lncRNA from 1 species